UACGUAGGCAGCGAGCGUUGUUCGGAGUUACUGGGCGUAAAGCGUGCGUAGGCGGUUGUCUAAGUUUGGUGUGAAAUCUCCUGCUUAACUGGGAGGGUGCGCCGAAAACUGGGUGACUGGAGUGUCGGAGAGGUAAGCGGAAUUCCUGGUGUAGCGGUGAAAUGCGCAGAUAUCAGGAAGAACACCCGUGGCGAAGGCGGCUCUCUGGAACGCAACUGACGCUGAGACGCGAAAGCGUGGGGAGCAAACAGG
rnacentral:rRNA from 1 species